AGUGGGGAAUAUUGCACAAUGGGCGCAAGCCUGAUGCAGCCAUGCCGCGUGUGUGAAGAAGGCCCUAGGGUUGUAAAGCACUUUCAGCAGUGAGGAAAGGUUAGUAGUUAAUACCUGCUAGCUGUGACGUUAACUGCAGAAGAAGCACCGGCUAACUCCGUGCCAGCAGCCGCGGUAAUACGGAGGGUGCGAGCGUUAAUCGGAAUUACUGGGCGUAAAGCGCGCGUAGGUGGAUUGGUCAGUCAGAUGUGAAAGCCCAGGGCUCAACCUUGGAACUGCACCUGAUACUGCCAAUCUAGAAUACGGUAGAGGGUAGUGGAAUUUCCUGUGUAGCGGUGAAAUGCGUAGAUAUAGGAAGGAACACCAGUGGCGAAGGCGACUACCUGGACCGAUAUUGACACUGAGGUGCGAAAGCGUGGGGAGCAAA
rnacentral:rRNA from 1 species